ACUCCUACGGAAGGCAGCAGUGGGAAUUUUGGACAAUGGGCGCAAGCCUGAUCCAGCCAUGCCGCGUGCGGGACGAAGGCCUUCGGGUUGUAAACCGCUUUCAGCCGGAAAGAAAUCGCCAAGGCUAAUAUCCUUGGUGGAUGACGGUACCGGAAGAAGAAGCACCGGCUAACUACGUGCCAGCAGCCGCGGUAAU
rnacentral:rRNA from 1 species